ensembl:lncRNA
GACAUAGACCUACUCGCGCUCCAACAUGUGCUCGCUGUUGCCUCGUGGUUGCUAUGAGCACAAAAGCACAAAACAGCCAAUCACAACUGUCCGACGUACAGCCAAUCACAAUGUACGCCCAUUCAAGCGUACAGCCAAUGAUAUUGUGUAACGUAAUCAGCAGACGACGGACCCGAGCCGAUCUGGAAGCCGAGCCAAUAUGGUACUUACACCGGCAUUCCCGCCGUGUGCUCCCACAGUGCCCUGCCGGAAGAAUUCAGACCCAUGUGUCGGGACCCCAGCGCCCGGAAGCUCUUCGCCAAACUAGAGGAACUGAGAUCUGCGACACCGGCUACUGUGAAGGCAAUGCUGCCUGAUUCCAAUCAGAGGAGGCAAUAAACUGAAAUCAAAACGAUUUAAAACGAAAGAAAAAGAAAUAAACAUCUGAGCCUUCUUUUUUGAAUAAACGUGAAUAAACCCAG